UACAGAGGUGGCAAGCGUUGCUCGGUAUCACUGGGCUUAAAGGGCGCGUAGGCGGCAUGCCAAGCGUGUGGUGAAAGCCCGGGGCUCAACCCCGGGUCGGCCGUGCGGACUGGCGUGCUCGAGCACUGUAGGGGCGGGUGGAAUUCCGGGUGUAGCGGUGGAAUGCGUAGAGAUCCGGAAGAACACCGGUGGCGAAGGCGGCCCGCUGGGCAGGAAGGCUCGCAAGAGCCGGCUGACGCUGAGGCGCGACAGCGUGGGGAGCAAACAGG
rnacentral:rRNA from 1 species